CAAGCGUUACUCGGAAUUACUGGGCGUAAAGCGUGCGUAGGUGGUUUGUUAAGUCUGUUGUGAAAGCCCCGGGCUCAACCUGGGAAUGGCAAUGGAUACUGGCAAGCUAGAGUGCGGUAGAGGGUAGUGGAAUUCCCGGUGUAGCGGUGAAAUGCGUAGAGAUCGGGAGGAACACCAGUGGCGAAGGCGGCUACCUGGACCAGCACUGACACUGAGGCACGAAAGCGUGGGGAGCAAACAGG
rnacentral:rRNA from 1 species